UACGUAGGGUGCGAGCGUUAAUCGGAAUUACUGGGCGUAAAGCGUGCGCAGGCGGUUUUGUAAGUCAGAUGUGAAAGCCCCGGGCUCAACCUGGGAACUGCGUUUGAAACUACAAGGCUAGAGUAUGGGAGAGGGGGGUAGAAUUCCACGUGUAGCAGUGAAAUGCGUAGAGAUGUGGAGGAAUACCAAUGGCGAAGGCAGCCCCCUGGCCUAAUACUGACGCUCAUGCACGAAAGCGUGGGGAGCAAACAGG
rnacentral:rRNA from 1 species